AAUGUGACAAAAACAAUUCAUUUUUUUUUUUUCACUUAAAAUUUUAUUAAAGAUACUAAUUGUAGAAUCAAAGAUGAAAUACAUAUGCCCAAACAAGAAAAAUCUAAGUCGGCAAAUAAACAAGUCUCCGAAGACAUAGCCGGAAGAGAAAGGAAUAUUCUCCGAAAACCUAAUCCCUAUCAAAGGGAGACAACUAAACUGAAAUAGACACACAAAGCAAAUAUAAUCAAGCCACAAUCAAAAGAGGACGAUUCCCAAAACUAAAAGCAAAGGUAACUAGGCAAAAACCUUGAGAGAUAUGAUAGAACCCGAGAACAACAGAGAAACUCUCCUUUUGAAACGCCUGCGAAUGCGAUUUAUCACGGAUGCCUACGGCCAAACCAGGAAUAAACCCCUACCACCUCCUAUCAUGUUGAGAGCCAAUCUCUCGAGAACCAAGGAAACAUAACCCAACAAGCAAAGAGCAUUCAUAGAAACUCAAACAAGCUUCCAGAUGCGACGGCGACGACGACUCAAGCGUCACUUAACGUCUAGCUAGAAUCCAACAAAAAGCGAUCAGAUAUAAACCAGAUCUCAAAAGCAAGGACAAGGAGCGAAGCAAAACUUCUCAAACAUCACCAAUCUCAAGAAGGA
rnacentral:sRNA from 1 species